AGAUUGAACGCUGGCGGCAUGCCUUACACAUGCAAGUCGAACGGCAGCACGGGAGCAAUCCUGGUGGCGAGUGGCGAACGGGUGAGUAAUAUAUCGGAACGUGCCCAGUCGUGGGGGAUAACGCAGCGAAAGCUGUGCUAAUACCGCAUACGAUCUCUGGAUGAAAGCGGGGGACUCAGCAAUGAGCCUCGCGCGAUUGGAGCGGCCGAUAUCAGAUUAGCUAGUUGGUGGGGUAAAAGCUCACCAAGGCGACGAUCUGUAGCUGGUCUGAGAGGACGACCAGCCACACUGGAACUGAGACACGGUCCAGACUCCUACGGGAGCAGCAGGUGGGGAAUUUGGACAAUGGCGCAAGCCUGAUCCAGCAAUGCCGCGUGCACGGAUGAAGGCCGUUUCGGGUUAGUUAACGUGUCUUUUAGUACGGUAACGAAACGUCUUACUUUACUAAUAAAGUAGG
rnacentral:rRNA from 1 species